ACAGUGCAGGGCAUCACAGACCUCAAAGCGGUCCAGAGAGAAGAAAACUUACCGUGCCAUAUGGUGUCUAGCCCCACUGCUUACCUAGAGCGGAUGCCAGCAUGCAUUUCUCCUCACCUGCAUCUCUUCAUUUCUCUGUGUGCUGUUACAGGCAUAGCUCUGAGCACCGCGCUGCAAUGGUGAGAGCUGCCAGCAAGGUGACACUAAUGCUGCUCAGGAAGCAUACAGCACUCAUUACUUUAGACAGCACUUAUGAUGAUACAAGACUGGAUACACACUUCUGCCAAAAUGAACCCUUCUGCUUCAGAGGGCAGGAAGAAGAGGAGAUAAAAGCUGAAAUAAAAAGCUGAAGGUGAAGCAAUAUGCACUGCUGAAAAAAGAUCUGGGGCGUGCUUCUGGCCUCCUGGAGAGAUGCUUCUUUCUCCCCUGCCCUAAAGGCUUGUUUCUUAGCCAUGUCUGUCUCACGAUGAACUUGGGCUUUAAAAACUGCUUCUGACGAUUUUGGACGUGAGCCACUGUCUGCAGUGGCACAGCGGUUGUGCACACACUGGACUACUUACCAAGCUCUGCUAAUAGGCAGGCUUUCAAAGAAAGACCUCUUGGAAUAGAUGUUCCUUUGCUUUCAAACCAGCAACAAAUCUGCACAUUUGGCACCAUAUGCACCAAAAGGGAGAAAGGCAGAGCAGUAGGUGGAAAACUGAGCCUCUCCUGAACGUGCCUUCCCUCAAAGAUCACAUUUCCACUCUUUCAGUUGCAUGCCUGAUCUCACCCAGGCCAGCCUUGCCAUCAGUGUAGCUCAAGAAGAGCGCACCGGUGGGCUGGGCCGUGCAGGGGGCAGGAGCUUCCAGGGUGACAACUUUGCCUCUGCAAAGUCUGUGCUGGAUAUCAGUGCACAGCUGGUCUCAUACGCUGUGUACAGCUAAAAUGGUCAGUGAGAAAUUAAAAAAUACAUUUCAUGUGUAUAUGGUGAACAACACAAACUAGCUCCUGGCCUAUAUUAUUUCUUUUUGCAUCUGUUUAACCUUGAUCUGUGUAGGUCCCCCUAAUUAAUUUGGAGAUUCUGUUCACAGUUGAAAACAACACAAUCUCUUCAGAUGCAGCUGCUCACCAUCGCAUGAACUGAGUUUGGGAAGAUUACUUGGUCAGAGCUUAACACUUGCAGGGAAAUGCAGUAAAAUGUGUAAUUGAAGGACUUCAAGAUAUUAUUGUGUCACAGAAGAGCUUUAUUCCUACCUUUAAAACUCCAAAUCUCAAAAGCUUCAGUGUUCAGCCAACGCUCACCCUGUGUUUGUCUUUCCCUUAUCGUUCCAUCCCAAUGUAAAAAACAUCAGUCAGCAACCUCUUAGGCAAUAAUUUGGCAAAUGUUGUUCUCUAAAAGGGUAAAUGCAACCAAAUAUUGGUUUCUGGUCUGUAAAUAAAUCGAGCUGUUCAGUUCUGCUUUGAACUACAGAAACCAAAGCAGUAGCACAGUGGCUUUUACGUGACACAGUAGUACUUUAGACAAACUACAGUCUUUGUUUUAUUGACUGUACUUGAUAAGACCAUUCUGACAUCUUAAAAAAAUAAAAUUUAACUUAAUGCUGUUUAAUUUAACAUUAUUAUCUUACAUACUUUUCUUCACAAACAAAUAAAAUAAAAAGGGCUGGGACAUAAAAACACACUCGGGGGAGAUGGGGAUGAAAUAGAAAAGCAGAUGUAAAACCUCAGAUUUUUUUUUUAAGCUAUAAAUAAAUAGCAUGUUUAUAUAAAAUUAAUAGCAUACGAACUACAAGCACUGCACCUAACAAAAGCAUGCUUCCUGCCCAAAACCAGCAGGCAGCCUAAAGAAGUCCUAAAAAUAGAAUUCUCUAUGCUUUACACAAAUAAGCAUCAAUCUGCAACAUUUAUAACUCACACACAACAAAGUAACCUUCUAGUCCUCUGCAACAGGACCUUUCCCAGGACUAAAACCUUUAUCAUUAUUUGAUCAUCCGACUGAACUGAGAUGAAUUAGUAAAACAGAAAUCCUAAUUAAAAACAUGCCUGAUACGUAUUUUAUUUUUCCCUGGCUAACAGAAAUGUACUGCUGCUAGCACAUUUUAGUGUAAUUGUUCUUUUCACAGAAUGUUUUAAAAUAUUUGGAAAAAACAGAGAGAAGAUUUUCUCCUGAAGAAAUUCCAAAUACUGCUGGUCACAUAAAUCACAAAAUAGGGCAGUGAAGCAUGAUCAAUAUUUGUACAAUCCAUUUAUAAGCACAGAUAUCUUUCUUUUGUUAUAUCAAUGUGCUAUCCAAAACAUAUAUUGUUUCUAAGACAUUUCUGUGGGUUAUAUCACUGUACUGCACAUUUAGAAAUAAAGAACAAGUUUAACCCUGA